CAGAUAUGCAGGGACAGACUGGCAGAGACGGAGUCUCAGGUUGGGGUAAAAAACUAUGACGGGACCUUUUUUAGGACUAGAAGCACACGCGCGCCCGCACACACACCAUCAUCAUCAUCAUGACUUCAGAAGGCUGCUGAAAGGAAAGACUGGGUGGUAACAAUGACAUGAGACAAACAUGAGUGUGUGAGGCGAGUAGUAGCAGCCUACCUGAUGAUGUCACAGCAGACAGCCAACCCAGGGAGGGGAAGAGGAGGAGAAAUGAUGGAGACGCCAUGACGGGGGGCUUUACUUUGCUGGAGAGAGGGGGGGGAGAAGGAUAAUCGUCAUCGAUGACAUCUCCAUGUGAAAUAUUAAGCCAAUAUCUCUACCCAGUGCUCUCUCUCUUUCCCUCCCCCUGUUAGCACAAACUGUGACUGCCAUUUAUUUUCAGCUGGCCAAUGUGAAACCUAACCCCCCCAGACAACACAUAAUUAACCUCCAAUAAGCUACUGAGACGCUUCACGCUACUGUGCACAAGAUAUGUUAGACCAUGUGUUUGCGUAGUGUGUGUGUGUCCUUAAUAUCAGAGUUAUAACUUGCAUGCAUAUGGAAUGGUUCCCUCUCAGGCUAUAUGCAUUGAUCGUAAGAUCUUCAUUUGAGACAGUUCGCUACAGCAGGAAAAUAAUCCUGUAGCAACAGGAAAUGUGAACUAUUUGUAUUAUAAUGAAUGGAAAUGUAUGGGGUUGAUACAUUUUUCGCUAGGGAAAAUAAAGUCUGACAUUUUAAAGUGGAAAUUACAAACUUUAGAAGCCUUUUAAACCUUGAAUACACUACAAAUUGGCAUUUCCUGCUGUUCAGGAAAAUUCUCAGCUACAAAAGAGUGAUCAAAUUUAGAGCCUUCUGAACAGAACCACUAUUGUUUUCAUUACGUUUCACUGUUCCGACCAGCAUAAUAAAGUUCUGAACCGCUUAGAACAAAAACAAAAGUACCAGUUUAUAUCGUUGACUUUCUGUUCCUUUUUUGGCCUGUGAAAUCAACAUCGUUUUUCCAU